ensembl:lncRNA
CAUAAGUGGGGAGGAGGAAGACAGAGGGCCCAGCACCAGCCGCAAGUUCGGUCCUCACUCCUUUGCCUCAGGAAGGGGCCAGCUGCAGGGAGGCGGCCAGGCCGGAGGAGAUGAGGAAACCGAGGCACAGAGAGACUAUGUGCCCUGCCCAGUGUGGCUCCGCUGACAAACAGCAGGGCCUGGGUCAAGCUUGGGCAGCUGAGCCUUUAACUUCUCACUGGACUUCUGGAGGGAUCAGAGAGAGAAUGGACAACCUGGCUGGGACAAGUGAGCCAUCAGGUUUCUAGCUGGGCACCUGAGUGCAGCCUCACCUGAAGCAGGCAUAGACGACUUACAAGAAAGUCAUUUCUGUCACAAUCACCUAAUACCCCACGAACCUCAGAGGAGCUGCUUUAAGGGCUCAACUGCCACCCCGCAUGUGAAAUGUAGAAUAACAUCCGGAUAUGGCACCAGGCCCCACUUCUACCACACUCCAGUAAAAAUAAACCUUGCUGUCCAAAUAUAGAGUGGUUAGAAGUGCCAUGUUUUACAGGAGAAGAGGCAGUUAUUUGGCAUUAAAAAUAGAUGAGUUUUGGCUUCCCUGCAGAUCUGGG